CGUUGGCGAAAGCUUCGAUAAGAACGGCUGGCGUUUCGAAGUCGUUGACCUCAAUGGCAGGCGGAUAGACAAGAGACUGGUCAGACCUGAACAAUCAGAUC
rnacentral:sRNA from 1 species